rnacentral:rRNA from 1 species
GACAGAGGAUGCAAGCGUUAUCCGGAAUGAUUGGGCGUAAAGCGUCUGUAGGUGGUUUAUUAAGUCUACUGUUAAAGAUCAGGGCUUAACCCUGAGCAGGCAAUAGAAGCUAAUAGGCUAGAGUACGGUAGGGGCAGAGGGAAUUCCCGGUGUAGCGGUGAAAUGCGUAGAGAUCGGGGAGAACACCAACGGCGAAAGCACUCUGCUGGGCCGAAACUGACACUGAGAGACGAAAGCUAGGGGAGCAAAUGGG